rnacentral:rRNA from 1 species
GACGUAGGGCGCGAGCGUUGUCCGGAUUUAUUGGGCGUAAAGAGCUCGUAGGCGGCUUGUCGCGUCGUCCGUGAAAACCCACAGCUCAACCCUGGGAUGCCGGUCGAUACUGCCGGACUAGAGUUCGGAAGAGGCGAGUGGAAUUCCCGGUGUAGCGGUGAAAUGCGCAGAUAUCGGGAGGAACACCAAUGGCGAAGGCAGCUCGCUGGGACGUUACUGACGCUGAGACGCGAAAGCGUGGGGAGCAAACAGG